GACGAACGCUGGCGGCGUGCUUAACACAUGCAAGUCGAACGGAAAGGCCCUGCUUUUGUGGGGUGCUCGAGUGGCGAACGGGUGAGUAACACGUGAGUAACCUGCCCUUGACUUUGGGAUAACUUCAGGAAACUGGGGCUAAUACCGGAUAGGAGCUCCUGCUGCAUGGUGGGGGUUGGAAAGUUUCGGCGGUUGGGGAUGGACUCGCGGGUUAUCAGCUUGUUGGUGGGGUAGUGGCUUACCAAGGCUUUGACGGGUAGCCGGCCUGAGAGGGGGAACGGCCACAUUGGGACUGAGAUACGGCCCAGACUCCUACGGGAGGCAGCAGUGGGGAAUAUUGCACAAUGGGCGGAAGCCUGAUGCAGCAACGCCGCGUGCGGGAUGACGGCCUUCGGGUUGUAAACCGCUUUCGCCUGUGACGAAGCGUGAGUGACGGUAAUGGGUAAAGAAGCACCGGCUAACUACGUG
rnacentral:rRNA from 1 species